rnacentral:tRNA from 1 species
CCAGGUCUUCGGGGAGCGGACCCCCGCGCGGCUGGGAGCCGCGGCGCGGGCCGUACCGGCCGGACGACCCGGC